rnacentral:rRNA from 1 species
GACGAACGCUGGCGGCGUGCCUAAUACAUGCAAGUCGAGCGCAGGAAGCUGACGGAACUCUUCGGAGGGAAGGCAGUGGAAUGAGCGGCGGACGGGUGAGUAACACGUAAGGAACCUGCCUCAAGGAUUGGGAUAACUCCGAGAAAUCGGAGCUAAUACCGGAUAGUUCAACGGACCGCAUGGUCCGCUGAUGAAAGGCGCUUCGGCGUCACCUUGAGAUGGCCUUGCGGUGCAUUAGCUAGUUGGUGGGGUAACGGCCCACCAAGGCGACGAGGCAUAGCCGACCUGAGAGGGUGAUCGGCCACACUGGGACUGAGACACGGCCCAGACGCCUACGGGAGGCAGCAGUAGGGAAUCUUCCACAAUGGCCGAAAGUCUGAUGGAGCAACGCCGCGUGAGUGAUGAAGGUUUUCGGAGCGUAAAACUCUGUUGUAAGGGAAGAACACGUACGAGAGGGAAUGCUCGUACCUUGACGGUACCUUACGAGAAAGCCACGGCUAACUACGUGCCAGCCGCCGCAGUAACAC